rnacentral:rRNA from 1 species
UCGCCUGUUUAUCAAAAACAUGGUUUCUUGAUAUAUUUAGGAAAUCUAACCUGCCCACUGAUAAUUUUGAAGGGCCGCAGUAUUUUGACUGUGCAAAGGUAGCAUAAUCAUUAGUCUUUUAAUUAAAGGCUUGUAUGAAUGGUUGAAUGAGGUGAAUACUGUUUUGUAUUAAUUGGUUUGAAAUUAGGAUUUGAGUAAAAAUACUUAACUGUAAUUAAGGGACGAGAAGACCCUAUAGAGUUUAAUAAAUGAAAUAAUAAGUUAGGUUAAUAAGGAUUUUUUAAUUUUUAUGGAGUUUAUUUAAUUGGGGUGAUUAAAAGAUAAAAAAAACUCUUUUUUAAUGUAAAUAUUAUGAUUAAUGAAAUGAUCCAUUGUUAGUGAUUGUAAGAUUAAAUUACCUUAGGGAUAACAGCAUAAUUUCUUUUGAGAGUUCAUAUUGAGAAAGAGGAUUGUGACCUCGAUGUUGGAUUAAGAUUAGUUUAAAAUGUAGAUGUUUAUAAUCUAGGUCUGUUCGACCUUUAAAAUCUUACAUGAUCUGAGUUCAAACCGGAGA